rnacentral:lncRNA from 1 species
UUUUUUUUUUUUUUUUUUUUUUUUUUUUAAGUGAGAUCUUUUUUUAAAGCUUACGACUCUCUCCUGGGUAAAAACAGUGAUAGAGAAAUGUUGGCUUGGACUUACUACUCACUACAACUCUGCACAUUUUAUUUACUGAAGCUCAGGAAAGGACAAGGAUAAUCUUAAUAAAUUCUUGGGUUUUAUUUCCUGGACUGACUAAAACUGAGAAUUUAUAUUAUCCAUAGUAGGAUGAGGUCAUUAUAAUAAUGUGAUUACGUUUGUGUGAACCCAUGCAUGGCAAGUACAAUAUGCUCUUUUACCUUUUUAAACACAAAAUCCAAAUAGGAUGCUGUCUUAAUUUUUUAUUCCUUCAUAAUAAAUUAUCACAAAUUUAUCUGCUUAAAACAAUACCCAUUUAUUAUCUGACAGCUCCCAUGGAUGGAGAGUACAGAUAUAGCUUAAGGGAGUCCUCUGUUCAGGGUUUCCCACUACAGUCAAGGUGUUGGCUGGGGCUGUGGUCUCAUCUGAGGUUCAAGAUCCUUCAAAUUCACGUGAUUGCUGGCUAAAUUAAUUUACUCACAACUGUAUAAACUCAUGGCAGCUUGCUUCUUCAAAGCUGGCAGGGGAUAAGACCGCUUCCCUCUAGACCCUUUUUUAAAGGGUUCACUUGAAUAAGCCAGACCCACCUGGGUCAAUCUCCCUUUUGAUUGAAUUAAAGCUGGCUGAUUAGAAACUUUAAUUACAUAUUCAAAAUCCCUUCACCUUUGCCAAACAUAUAAAGUAACCUAAUCACUAGAGUGCUAUCCCAUCGUACUCCUAGGUCUUGCCCAAACUCAAGAGAAGGAGCUUACAUAGGGUGACCAUGAAGAGCAAUAUUAGAAUUCUAUUACAAAUGCUAUCUCACAUUUCUAAGAUCACGUAUCAGCCACUAAGAGUAAAGUUGGGAAUUAGAUAAGUUAAAAAUGCUCAAGUCAUAUCCAAAUAAAAGCUCAUUAUCUAUGCAUAAUCCAUCAUGCCUAUUUUUCAGGAAAUCUAGAACCAUAAAAAUAAAGCUGAAAAUGACCUCAGUGCACUAAAUUCUCUAGCACUAAAUCAAGGUUCUCAGACAGAUGAUUUAUGCACAAUCCUGACUAUGUGGUUUUUCGGUGUUUUCCAGCAUGUUAAAUGAGCAGCAACUGCACAACAAAUGUCAGCAGGAAUGAUGCAGUAAAACAUGAAAAACACCUUUUUAAGAAGAAAUACACACCUCAAAAACAUGGCAAUCUGAGGUCAUCCAGUGUAGCAGACACAGACAUAGACUCUCCAUACUUCAUGAGAGCCUCAGACAUUGUCAUUGUGAGAAGACAGCCUUAUGGCAGAAAGUUCAAUUUUGUUCCAUGUACUCUGGUUAAGAUAGUAAGAAUAGACAUCGUUCAUCCUCAGAAAAAUUCUCCUUCAUAUAGUUGAUGUCAAGGGAUAGCUAAGCUUCAGUUAUUUGGAAAAUUAAUUUACACGGAAUGACUCGGAUGAAGCAGAAUGCAUGGCACUCUUGCAUAAGACUUAAAGAGUGUAUUUUCAGGUUGGGUAGUUCAAGAUGAGGAAUGUGGAAGGGGAACUCAGAGGUUAAGGCCAAAAUCCAGGUUAUGAAUGUCAUUGCUUCAGAGAAGGUGAGAGCAAUGAUAUCUGGAGCAAAAAGCCUUUUUGCUUGCUUUCUCAGCCUGGACAACCACUCAGCAGAGGGCUAUUUGGGGCCAAAGCUAAGCAGUUGACUUACUGGAGAAAGCUAUGCCAAGCUGUGGACUCAGCGACACAGCCCUGGAAGCCAAAGCAUGGGCCUCUGUCCUGACACAGCUCUUUCCCCCAAGCUAGUGGCUUUCCUGAAUUUCUGAAUACAGUUCAUCUGUUCUUCUGGGUGUCCAAGAGGUCAAGAAAAGGAGUUAUUUCACAGAUGGACUUUGCUUAACAGCAAAAAAUUGCUAUUUCCAAAGCAGUUAUAUAUUUGGGUUUUCUAAAUUUCCUGUUGUACUUCUUCCAACAAAGGAGAGGUAGAAACAUUCUCAGGGAAGGUGGAAAGUCCAAGGAAGAAAGCAAUAACAGGUCUCAAAAGGUGUUACCCUAGCCAGCCACUAAGGCAAUCAGCACACUGGAGAGAUAUGAUCACCAGUUCUAUGAUUUCCUAAUGCUCACAGGUACAUUUACAAAAUGAAUUCUCUUUUGAAAAAGUAUUACUUGUGCAUUUUGGACUUAAUCUGUACAAAACUUGACCUUCCUUCCCAAAGCUGCUCAUUUGGCACUCUUUCAGAUCUCAAUAAAUGGCAACCCUCAUCCUUGCCAUGAAUCUUGGGGGGUCAUCCUUGACUUCUCUCUCUCACCUCACAUCUAACCCAGUUUCAGAAUAUAUCCAGAAUCUAGCACUUCUCACCAUCUCCACUGCAACCUUCCCAACCCAUGCUACCACUAUCAUUUCUCCCUUGGAUCACCCUCCUAAAGGGUCUUCCUUCAUCAGGCCUUGAUCCUUUUUUGUCUCAUUCAGCAUAGCAGCCCAGGCGAUCCUGUUAAAUGAAAUAGAGUAUGUCACUCUUCUUAUCAAAACCUUCCAGUGGCUUCUAUUUCACUCCAUGGAAAAGCCACAGUCCUUACAGAAGCUUACAAGGCCUUACAACUACACCUUGCCCCCCACUUCCAUGACCUCAUCUCCUACAACUC